rfam:Myotis davidii contig107302, whole genome shotgun sequence.
ACUUACGAUUAGUUUUGCAGGUUUGCAUUUCAGUGUAUAUAUGUAUAUAUGGCUGUGCAAAUCCAUGCAAAACUGAUUGUGAUA